GUGUGUGUGUGUCCAGAGGGAGGCAGGGAGCACGUGCACUGGGUAAGGUGACGUCUGGUGACCCUGCCACUCUGCCAGAUGAUUGAGCUGUCUGGUGCGGAGUGCAGCCCAUGUCACGACGUCCCGACCCCGCCCCCGCCGCCCACCUUCCCCAGAAUAACAGAACCCCUGAGUUACGAUGAGUUCUUCAGGGAGUACCUAGAAAAGAACAGGCCAUGUGUGUUCUCGGCGAGGUUCACGGAGGGGUGGCGGGCGCGGCGGGAGUGGGUUGCCGCCGACGGGACACCUGAUGUGGACUACCUGGCAAGUCAUUUCGGUGAGGCCAAGGUGCCAGUGGCAGACUGUGAUCAGAAAUAUUAUGACUCUCAGGAGAAGAAGACCUACACCCUGGAGGAAUACAUUCAAUAUUGGAAAGAUGCCAGAGAAUCUUCAGAAGGAAAGAAGUUGUGUCUUUAUCUGAAGGACUGGCAUUUUGUUCAAGCUUAUCCUGACUAUGGUGCCUACACUACUCUCCAGUACUUUGCUUCCGACUGGCUCAAUGAGUUCUGGAAAGUCCGCAAGGAUAUUCAGGAUGACUACCAGUUUGUGUACUUGGGACCCAAAGGCAGCUGGACGCCCUUUCAUGCCGAUGUCUUCCGCUCCUACAGUUGGUCCACUAACAUCUGUGGACGCAAAAGAUGGGUGUUUUAUCCCCCAGGGGAGGAGCAGUACCUCCGUGACACAUUUGGCACUCCUGUGUAUGACAUUGACUCUAUAGAACUAAGGGACACAUCAAAAUACCCUAAAGCAGCCUCUGCCUCUGGCCGAUUGGAGGUGAUUCAAGAACAGGGACAGACCAUAUUUGUUCCCUCAGGAUGGUACCAUCAGGUUUGGAAUCUAGAAGACACAAUCUCCAUAAACCACAACUGGCUUAAUGGCACUAACAUCCACAUAGCGUGGGAGUUCCUGGUAGAGUCUCUCAACCAGGUUGAGUAUGCCAUCCGGGACUGCCGCAGCAUGGACGAGUGGCCCGAGCAGUGUCAGUUGUUUCUGCGAGCCACCCACGGUAUGGACUACCAGGAAUUUUACACAAUGCUUCGCACAGUGGCUCGGCGGAGGAUUGGCGUACUGCAAGGAACUGAAGAUGUUGUUAGCUUUGGAGAGUGGAGGCUUGGCAAAAAUCAUGCCACUUAUGACCUGAAGAGAAUCAAGUGGUGUCUGGAACAACUCUUGGAUGACCAGCACACGCAGGAACUGACGAUAUUCACCAAGAUAGAGGAGCCGCCUUCACAACUCUUGGAAGAAGUGACGGUAGCUUUGUCUUGAUCGUGCUCCUGCAGCUUCAUCAUAAAGCAUCAGUGAGUCCACAAUCUGCUCUCUUCCAAAAUUUGAAAAGCUACAGUAGUGUGAAAUACAAAGUAGUAUAGAUUUUUAUAUCUAUGGACCAUACAUAAAAUAUUGAAUAAUUCAUUCAUUCACAAAUACAAUAAUUUGUGCCUGAUAUUAAUUACAAGAUCAUUAAAGUUUUCAAUGAAGAAGAGGGCAGCAUAAUCAAUUGUGCUUUAAGGAUUUCUUGUUUUGCAAACUAAACAAUCUAAAUGUUUGUAUUUGUAGGAGACUACAAGUUUGCUUCAUUUCUAGAUCAACCUCAUAACAAAAAUAGAAAGGAUCAGGAUUUAUUUUUAUUUCAGUUUGCAGUAAGAGAAAUUUCAAAAAAUAUUCAUCCUUAGGCCAAUGGACAAAAGUGGCGAUCAUGACUACACACUCUUCACUCGCUGCUCCUUUUGUUGCUGCAUUUUGUAAAACCUUUCCAGAAUUGGAUGGUCACAUUUUGCACAGAUCAGAACUUUUAAACAGCAUCAGACUCUAAGGCAGCAGGAAUCACAACAAACCAUCUUCUGGAACAUGGGAAGCCUUGCCAACCUGAACAGAUCACGUCAUGACAUGUCCAACUCCCACAGCACUGAUGGACUACAUGAGCACCGUGCCCUUCACCUCAACAGUGACGGUUCACAGCAGCAGUGUGUCUGCCCACACCUUGCCCUACUCUGCCUUGAUGCACCAUACACUCUGGCUGGUAAUUCCAUCACACCUUGCCCUACUCUGCCUUGAUGCACCAUACACUCUGGUAAUUCCAUUGUGUGGUUUGAAAAAUAUAUUGGUGUAGUUUUAGAUGUAAAUUUUAAAAAUGUCAAUCUCUAAAACAGCACUAUGUCUAAAAUGUCAUUUUCAAGUACUCAUUUUUAUACUCUACCUCACUUUUACUUGAAGUCCCACUAUGUGGUAUGCUAUCUGAAAACCUCAGUUGUCGGGGCAUAAUGUCAUGAAUAUGUUUUUAAAUAGGUUAGGUCAUUACGUGAUUAUUAAUAACUUAAUAGAGUGACAGUAUGACUCAUGGGUGGUUGGGUGGGAGGAUUGCUAACGUGAUAUACAAGCAGUGUGGUGCUAACUGAUGUGACGUGAGGUGACAUGACGAAUACUGUGUGUGUGUGUGUGUGUGUGUGUGUGUGUGUGUGUGUGUGUGUGUGUGUGUGUGUGUGUGUGUGUGUGUGUGUGUACCUGUGCCUAUUCACAAGAAGCAGGCCAUGUCUUGGCUGGAACCCCUCUGUGGUGUGUUUGCCUCAUAUAUAGAUGAAUAGACAAGCUUUAAUUACCUAUUAAUUGUAAAUACACCCAAUAAAGAUGUUGGAUACU